CUUAACCUCUCUGCAUUUAAUUUGGAAUCCCACUGAAACAGCAAUGCCCAUCCUUUCAGUCUCUUUCUUCAAAUCAUCUCCUAUUCAUGGCCCACCAUAAAAAUUUCGUAACUUCAUCAAAUUUCUUCUCUCACCCCAUCAAAACCUUCCGUUCUGGAAAUGAUGAAUGAUGGAAUGGAGGAAGUUGCCUUCGUUUAACCUUAAUCAUUUAGUCCGUUUUCCAACCCUUAAUAGUGAAAGCAUUCCCGUUUGUCUCUGACCCUCACAGCAGCCCAAUUAUCAGACCAGCACAGCAGCAAAACAUCAGAUUAGGGGUUUGUUCUCUGCUGUUUGGAUUAGGAGUUUCUUAAAACGUGCACAGAAGGGUUAACUGCAAGGUGAGAGGGGAAUUAAGCUCUACAAGUUCCAUAACUUCCUCAAUGAACAUCUGCAUAAGUGAGUUGAAGUCAAUAAGCUGUAAUACUUCUAAAAGCACAUGUUAAUGCUUGUCAAAGGUUGCUGAUUCCUGAAUAUCUUUUGUUUGAGCAAUGUUAUGAUAUGUUGGACCUUAACCGGGUUUAAGUAUUAGAAACGUUUCAGCGUAACUCAACCCCACAGAGUUAGGCACCUUAUAUUAUAAUUUGAUCUCUCUUUAAAACUUCCAACACACUCCUUCACGACGAGGUAUUUGAUCUCUCUUUAAAACUUCCAACACACUCCUUCACGACGAGGUAUAGACAUAUCGAGUGUUUACUAUAAAUUGGGUGUAUUACGCACAUGUUUUCAUGUUUUGUUCAAUUCUAUGUAUAUACAGGUUGCAUUUUUGAUUGAUUUUAUUCAUCCUAUUUAAUUUGUACUCAGGCUCUUAAAUUGGAAUUUAGAAUGGAUGAGGAGGAUAUUAAUAUGUCCCUUUGUGAAAAUGAGAUUGAGAAAGAUGAUAUUGAAAAACAAUCUGAAACUGGUGAAACUGAAAAAAAAGAAAAAUAAGGAUACCACGACUCAUUGUUGGAGGUAUUUUACUAAGAUUAGGGUGGGUAAGGAUAGAAAAGAGAGUGCAAAGUGCAAUGGUUGUAACAAAAUAUUUGUGUGUGGUGGAAGAAAGUAUGGUACUUCUCAUUUGAAAAUA